AUUGAACGCUGGCGGCAGGCCUAACACAUGCAAGUCGAGCGGAGCGGCGGACGGGUGAGUAAUGCCUAGGAAUCUGCCUGGUAGUGGGGGAUCACGUCCGGAAACGGGCGCUAAUACCGCAUACUAUCAGAUGAGCCUAGGUCGGAUUAGCUAGUUGGUGGGGUAAAGGCCUACCAAGGCGACGAUCCGUAACUGGUCUGAGAGGAUGAGCAGGCACACUGGAAUGGGGACAGGCUACAGAGUCAGUGGGGCAGCGUCAGUGGUGAAUAGUGGACAAGGGGCGAAGACCUUAUCACGACAUGCCGCGUGUGUGAACAAGGUAUUCGGAUUGUAAGGCACUUUAAGUUGGGAGGCGGUACCAACAGAAUAAGCAACGGCUAACUUCGUGCCAGCAGCCGCGGUAAUAC
rnacentral:rRNA from 1 species